rnacentral:rRNA from 1 species
CCCUUAGAUGUCCUGGGCCGCACGCGCGCUACACUGACGGAGCCAGCGAGCUUACCCCUUUGCCGAAAGGCAUGGGAAAUCUUUUGAAUCUCCGUCGUGCUGGGGAUAGAUCAUUGCAAUUAUUGAUCUUGAACGAGGAAUUCCUAGUAAGCGCAAGUCAUCAACUUGCGUUGAUUACGUCCCUGCCCUUUGUACACACCGCCCGUCGCUCCUACCGAUUGAAUGUUCCGGUGAGCUCUUCGGACUGCGCGGUCUGCAGUUUCUGCGUUCCGUGCGGAAAGUUGCGCAAACCUUAACAUUUAGAGGAAGGAGAAGUCGUAACA